GUCUAGAAACACUACAAGAAAGGGGACCUUUUAUCCCACUUUUUUAGUUAACAAAAAUAAAAAAAUGGGAUAAAAGAUAUAUUGAGACUUUUUAUCCCACUUUUAGAUUUGGCUCCUCAAAUAUGCAACAAAUAUUUUUUUAGACAAGGGCUCUGUUUGGUAGAAAGUUAAAAAAAAAAUAUUAAAGGCAAAAAAAUAAUUUCAAGAUUUGAUUUUUAUGAGUUUGCCAAACAGGGGAUAAAUUUUUUUAGGGAAACCUUUUAUCCCAGUUAUUAGUUAAAAACCGGGAUAAAAGGGUUUAGUGUGAAACCCUUUUAUCCCGGUUUUAACUAAAUAACCGGGAUAAAAAGUCAUCCCUAAAAUCCCAAACGUCAACCUAUCGAUCGACAUAACAGCUAGCUCGACGUACAACCCCCAAGUCCCAACCCAGAAACCCUCUCGCCCAAACCCAGAAACCCUCGCCCAAACCCUCACGCAAACCCUCUCGCCCAAACCCUCUCGUCUAAAUCCUCGCCCAAACCCAGAAAUUAACCCUCGCCCAAACCGACAUUGGCGGCGCCGUAGAAGAUAACGCCUCCCGUUUGGUCUUUAUUCCCAGGUUUGCUCUUUCUUUUUAUUUCUUUCUAUUUUCUUACUUUAUUUUAUCUGUUGUUGUUGUUGCUGUUUCUUUUCAUAUAUUGGGCCUGCUGUUUCUAUUUUCUUUCUUUUUCAUUUGUUUCAAAACUCCAUUAACAACACAUUUUCUCCUACUCUUAACCCCAUACUAAAGACUAUUCUCAUUCCAACAUAAAACAUUUCACCAGUUGGGAAGCUUGGAGAGAAGUUACUGAAUUGUUUUAAGGUAUUGACAUAUCUCAGGGCCUUCAAAUUCUUGAGUUGUUUAUUAGUAAAGGUUUACUUACUUUCUCUUUUGUGUUUUAUGGCUCUUAAUAAUUAUAUCAUAUGAUAAUAGAAGAAUUAAUUUAUGUGUUGCCUUGCUGUUUAUUUUUUUUUUUUUUGUCUAGAGAGUAGAGACUCUACUAUAAUGUGAUUACUACUACUUUAUCUCUGAUAGAUUUUUUACUUUUGACAAUAAACUGAUAUGAACACUAACAUUAUAAUUUGCAAAGUAUGCACUUGAGAAAAGUCUGUUCUGUUGUUGUUGGGGUUCCUUAGAAAUUUCUUAUUGCAUUAGUGAAUACUGAAUAGUCAACUUUAGCAGUCCUUUUUAAUUUUAUUACUGUGAUUAAUUGGGUGAAACCAUAAAAAUGAGUGAUCUUUAUCUUUUGAUUGUGUAUGGAGGAAGAUGUUGUAUCAAAAUAAGAGAUUAUUAUGUGUUUGGUGCUGCUAAUAGUAAGUUAUAUUGAGCUAAAUUAUUCUUUUUCUUCUAUCUAUCUAUGUUUUGCAAAUAAAUUUUGGACUUCAAAACUAGCAUCUUUGAUAACAGAGUGGAGGACUGAAACAUUUUUAGAGUCUUCAAUGUGAAUGCCAUCAGUAUUGGGACUUAGAGCAGGAGAGUUUAUAGAAACAGAGUCAACUUGACUUGACAACUUGUAUAUGCCAUCAAUAUAUUGUUUUGUAUAUGUUAGUGUUUGUUACAGUAAAACCAUUAUAAAUUAAGAACUUUAUGACUUGACAACUUGACAAAAUUAUAAUUUGAUCGAGGCUAUUAAUUUAUCAAGGCUAUUUUGUAUAAUUAUUUGUGUUGUAAUGGUGUUGAUGAUGAUGAUGAUUAUUAUUUUGUAUAAUAAAUUACAGAUGUAAUUAACAUUAUUAUUAAAUCAUUUUUAUUUACAAAAGUGGUAAUAUAGGUUUUAGAAAUAAUUUUAGUGAUCAAGUCUAACUAUCAAAAAUUAACAUUUAUUUUUCUUAUGGCACUCAUUGUUUUGUUAACAACAAUUUAUUUACUUAGCUAACAUUGGUUUAUGUAAUAGUUAGUAAUCAAUAGUCCUUGAAAAAGUCAUUUUGAAUGUGAUGCAGCAGAAACUAAUAAAAUAAAAUUAAUAAAAUUACAAUUAGCUUAUUAUAAAUAUAUAUAUAUUUAUUAGUAGAUUAAUUUAAUUUAAUUUAAUUACAACAGAUGAUGAGAGAAAGGUGAAGUUUCUGAAAAGCUUUCGAGGAGCUAAGACGAGAUGACAAAGCAAAAGGAUGCAAAUAAGCCAAAAGGACGAGGCAGGACAAAAAAGAAUGACAUCAACAAUCUGAAAGCUCAAGGACGCAAGACAAAACUAGAGUGGAAUGAGAAAUGAGAACCUAUAGGAACAGCAUAUGCAGAUAUGCAAUCAUGGAUUGGGGUUAAAGCAAGAUCUACAGUCCCUCUAAAUUAUGAUGAUUGGAGACAUGUAGAUUCGAAACUCAAGGGGAAAAUAUGGAAAGACACAUACAGGUUCUUGACAAGACUCAUAUUUCUCUUCAGGCCAUGUUCUUGGAAUAUAUGAGAGUAAAAGGUAAAAAUGAGUUUGUGAGGGUUCCUGUCAACCCAUCCUUAUUCUACCGAGUUCACAUCUACAUAACUUCCGAAGAUGUCAUACAAGUGGCCACCCAAGAUGAACUUACGGGUUCAGCUAUGUUAUUUGGACUAAGAUGCAUUUGGGAAAAUUUAAAUCAAAGACAAAUAUUAGUUCAAAUGCUAUUGUAUUUGGCAAAAAUGGACCGGAGAUAUGGACCUUUGCUUGUCCAAAGCAACCAUACAAUUACGAAUGUGGUUACUAUGUACUAACUUACAUUCGUGAUAUGCUUCAACAUUCAAAUCCUAUUACAGCCAUAAAAGCAAAAUUUGGCGGUCUAUCCCAAUAUUUUGAGGACGAUCAUCUCUUACCGCUUCGACAACAGUGGUUAAGUCAAUUGCUUCC